CAACCGAGAUUUCAGCAGUACUUGAACAGAUAGACAUCAUGGCGUCUAAAAAUGAUCCAUGCUGCUACACAGGAGAAAUGUAUGAUGGAGAGAUCAGGAAACGGCAACUGGAAACAGAUUGGGGUGACCGAUCACAAAGCGAGGAGAAAACUUUAUCAGUUCCAGGUAACUUGCCUGAAGAUGCUGUUGCAAACAAAGAAAAGGGAGAAGAAAUGAGACUUGAGGAAAUCGACAGGAGUUUAAAUGAAAAUAACAUCCCGGAAAAUAUACAACUACCAAAAGUAGA